UACUGGAAACGGUGGCUAAUACCCCAUGGUCCUGGUGUUGUUGGAGGGUACCAGGUAAAGUUGAGGCGCUCUGGGAGGGGCCUGCGGUCGAUUAGCUAGUUGGUGGGGUAAGAGCCUACCAAGGCGAUGAUCGAUAGCUGGUCUGAGAGGAUGAUCAGUCACACUGGAACUGAGACACGGUCCAGACUCCUACGGGGGGCAGCAGUGAGGAAUAUUGCGCAAUGGGGGGAACCCUGACGCAGCAACGCCGCGUGGAGGAUGAAGGCUUUCGGGUUGUAAACUCCUUUUCUGGGGGAAGAGAGAGGACGGUACCCCAGGAAUAAGUCACGGCUAACUACGUGCCAGCAGCCGCGGUAAUACGUAGGUGGCGAGCGUUAUCCGGAAUUACUGGGCGUAAAGCGCGCGCAGGCGGCUGCGCAAGUCUGACGUGAAAGCUCCUGGCUUAACUGGGAGAGGUCGUUGGAAACUGCGUAGCUUGAGGCAAUGAGAGGGACAUGGAAUUCCCGGUGUAGUGGUGGAAUGCGUAGAGAUCGGGAAGAACACCAGUGGCGAAAGCGGUGUCCUGGCAUUGACCUGACGCUCAUGGGCGAAAGCGUGGGGAGCGAACGGGAUUAGAUACCCCGGUAGUCCACGCUGUAAACGAUGAGUACUAGGUGUAGGCGGUAUCGACCCCGUCUGUGCCAAAGCCAACGCGAUAAGUACUCCGCCUGGGGACUACGGCCGCAAGGCUAAAACUCAAAGGAAUUGACGGGGGCCCGCACAAGCAGCGGAGCGUGUGGUUUAAUUCGAUGCAACGCGAA
rnacentral:rRNA from 1 species